rnacentral:rRNA from 1 species
UAGGGAAUCUUCCACAAUGGACGAAAGUCUGAUGGAGCAACGCCGCGUGAGUGAAGAAGGGUUUCGGCUCGUAAAACUCUGUUGUUAAAAAGAACAUAUCUGAGAGUAACUGUUCAGGUAUUGACGGUAUUCAACCAGAAAGCCACGGCUAACUACGUGCCAG